CAAAAGCAAAACUAACCCUAACCAAAUCAAAUUUUCUUUCAAUUACAAACGCAUAAAAAAUUUAAUUCUCACCUGUAUUAAAUUUCGUUUUCAAACUGAUUUUGAUCUUCAACAAGGCUACCGAUUCAAUCGAAAAUAGAAGGGGUUUUUUUAUGUUUUAAUUUAUAGAUAUAGGUUAUAGGUUACUUAUUGAUUUUGUUGUUUUUGAAAUAUUCUCAUAUUAAUUGAUUGUGUUUUCGGAUUAUCAGCCAAUUAUAUCCAAGGUUAAUGACCAGCUAUCUUUUUCUCUCAUGUCAUUCCUCAAGAGGGUGUUGGAAUACAAGCAAUAGUACAAGGUUUAAAGAUUAGCGAUUUUUGGAUCCAAUAAUAGAAUCGGGGAAAUGUUACCAAAUGAGAAUACGUGGAGCACUGCAGCAUCCUCAAUAAUCUCAGGUUGGUAAACCAAAGAAAGUCAAAGUUCAAGCAGCAGCAGCAAAAAAGCCCUCCGAGUUUCUCAGUUUAUGACAACAAAUAUCUUCACAUCAUCUAGCUCCAAGUCUAUAAAAAUCACAAGGGAAGACAUUCACAUGCAAUGCCACAGUUUUAGAAAUCAUCCCCUUUUCUGAAGUAAAUUUUGUACGCUUGAAGAAUAGCUACCCGAUUACCGAUUACCAAACCUUGGAACAAACCGAUGCCGCCCAUCGGGCGGCAUGAACCUCCCUAGUUAUAAAAUGUUAUAGCAAAAUUAAGUUAUAAAACAUCUUUAACAAAAACCAUUUUCCAAUAAUAAUAUCUUGUCAGCA